UUUUUUCUCCCCUUAGUUAACUAUCCAGUUUGAUGGAUUUUUGAGGAAAACCUAGCGUAGCUCUGUUGUAUCCACAACCAGAGGGCGAAAACGCUUUUAUCACGUAUCACAAAAUUCUAAAAUUAAUAUCGGCGCUUGGAAUCGGAAUCUUUUUCGCAUCCUUACAUUUAUAGGGUAGACAUAAAUAAAGCCAAAAAAAUUCUAAAAUUAUAAAUACAGUACCUCAAGGCAAAGAAAAUUCUAAAAUUAAGACGAAACCAAGCAAUUAAAUAUAAAUACAGUACCUCAAGGCAAAGUGCCUCCUUUGAUAAAUCCUUGACAAGAAGUUGGAGACAGUGAUGUGGGGAAUUCUGGGAACUUGUUGGAGGAAAGUCAAAUGUUCAAUCCUCCACAAGAUGUUGGAGACAGUGAUGUGGGGAUUUCUGGGAACUUGUUGGAAGAAAGUCAAAUGUUCAAUCCUCCACAAGAAGUUGGAGACAGUGAUGUGGGGAUAAUUUGUACUUUGUUUAUUCAUAAUUGCAUAAUGCUCUUCUUUAGAUUUAUCAGGAUGGUGGUGAAUAUGUUUCAAUGUAAAUUUCAUUUUAUUACAAAUUCAAUUGUUUUUUAGAUAUUUUUAUUAUUAAUUGUAAAAAAUGCUAACAUAUAAAAAUUGAAUUUAUUAUUCUUUGGGAAAGUAAAAUUAUAUUGAAAGUUUAUAUUUAUAUUGAGAUUGAAUGGUGUUAUAUCUGUGAGGAAAAGAUUGGUGAAAUGGAUUACAUCUUUUCCAUCUAUGAAAUUUUUUUCUCCAUAUUAAUUAAGUUGUAGUUGUUUUAAAAUGUCAUAUUACUAUUUAUUAUAUUUUAAUAAAGGAUAUUUUAAAUUUUA